rnacentral:rRNA from 1 species
ACCGGAGCUAAUACCAGAUAACAUGCUGAACCGCAUGGUUCAACAGUGAAAGACGGUCUUGCUGUCACUUAUAGAUGGAUCCGCGCCGCAUUAGCUAGUUGGUAAGGUAACGGCUUACCAAGGCAACGAUGCGUAGCCGACCUGAGAGGGUGAUCGACCACACUGGAACUGAGACACGGUCCAG